rnacentral:rRNA from 5 species
UCGCCGCUCGCGACUCGGCGAGAAGUCCAUUGAACCUUAUCAUUUAGAGGAAGGAGAAGUCGUAACAAGGUUUCCGUAGGUGAACCUGCGGAAGGAUCAUUG